CGAGGGGUAGCAGGGCUACGGCCGCUGACGACCGGCGCACGGGUGAGUAACGCGUAUGCAACCUGCCUUUUACACUGGGAUAGGCUUUCGAAAGGGAGAUUAAUACCGGAUAAAACAGGGGCGCCGCAUGGCGCUAUUUGUUAAAUGAUUAAUUUUGGUAAGAGAUGGGCAUGCGUUGGAUUAGGUAGUUGGGAGGGUAAUGGCCUACCAAGCCAGCGAUCCAUAGGGGAACUGAGAGGUUUGUCCCCCACACUGGUACUGAGACAGGGACCAGACUCCUACGGGAGGCAGCAGUGAGGAAUAUUGGUCAAUGGUCGGGAGACUGAACCAGCCAAGUCGCGUGAAGGAAGACGGUAUUAUGUAUUGUAAACUUCUUUUAUAGGGGAAUAAAGUACGGGACGCGUCCUGUUUUGUAUGUACCUUAUGAAUAAGCAUCGGCUAACUCCGUGCCAGCAGCCGCGGUAAUACGGAGGAUGCGAGCGUUAUCCGGAUUUAUUGGGUUUAAAGGGUGCGUAGGUUGGAGAAUAAGUCAGCGGUGAAAUCUCACAGCUUAACUGUGAAACUGCCGUUGAAACUGUUGUUCUUGAGUGUAAACGAGGCAGGCGGAAUUCGUAAUGUAGCGGUGAAAUGCAUAGAUAUUACGAAGAACCCCGAUAGCGCAGGCAGCUUGCCAGGCUACAACUGACACUGAAGCACGAAAGUGUGGGUAUCAAACAGGAUUAGAUACCCUGGUAGUCCACACAGUAAACGAUGAUUACUCGCUGUUUGCGAUACACAGCAAGCGGCCAAGCGAAAGCGAUAAGUAAUCCACCUGGGGAGUACGCCGGCAACGGUGAAACUCAAAGGAAUUGACGGGGGCCCGCACAGGCGGAGGAACAUGUGGUUUAAUUCGAUGAUACGCGAGGAACCUUACCCGGGCUCGAACGGCUAUGGAAUGUUUAUGAAAGUAAGCAGUUCGCAGAACCGUAGUCGAGUGCUGCAUGGUGU
rnacentral:rRNA from 1 species